rnacentral:lncRNA from 1 species
CCCCUUUAUCAACUGAUUAAUAUAGUUUGUUUUAAUGUUUACUAUUGCAAUAUAGUUUGUUCUUAUGUUGUGAUGUUGCAUUUAGUUUGUUUUAAUGUUUACUAUUGCAAUAUAGUUUGUUCUUUUGUUGUGUUGUUGCAAUAUAGUUUGUUCUUAUGAUGUGGUGUUGCAAUAUAGUUUUUUCUUAUGUUGUGUUGUUGCAUCCCUGUCCCAGUCUUAAAAUGUGUUGAAAUCAAUGCCCCUGAAUCAGAUAUCUUUCUUGUUUAUUAUGUGUCAAGUCUUGAGGUUUUAUUAUGUAUGUUGGUAAUGAGAAUCAUUGCAUUUGUGGAAAGUUUUGCACAAUUUUUUAUAAAGAAGAAUUGAAUGAUAUAUAGUGUUUGUUCCUAGGGAUAAAACCGGUCUGCAAUUUU